UGGGGAAUAUUGGACAAUGGGGGCAACCCUGAUCCAGCCAUGCCGCGUGUGUGAAGAAGGCCUUUUGGUUGUAAAGCACUUUAAGCAGUGAAGAAGACUCCAUGGUUAAUACCCAUGGACGAUGACAUUAGCUGCAGAAUAAGCGCCGGCUAACUCUGUGCCAGCAGCCGCGGUAAUACAGAGGGUGCAAGCGUUAAUCGGAAUUACUGGGCGUAAAGCGAGCGUAGGUGGCUUGAUAAGUCAGAUGUGAAAGCCCCGGGCUUAACCUGGGAACGGCAUCUGAUACUGUUAGGCUAGAGUAGGUGAGAGGAAGGUAGAAUUCCAGGUGUAGCGGUGAAAUGCGUAGAGAUCUGGAGGAAUACCGAUGGCGAAGGCAGCCUUCUGGCAUCAUACUGACACUGAGGUUCGAAAGCGUGGGUAGCAAACA
rnacentral:rRNA from 1 species